GAUGAACGCUAGCGGCAGGCCUAACACAUGCAAGUCGAGGGGGAGGUUACUUUCGGGUAACUGAGACCGGCGUACGGGUGCGUAACGCGUAUACAAUCUGCCUUUCACUGGGGGAUAGCCCGAAGAAAUUUGGAUUAAUACCCCAUAGUAUAGUAAUACGGCAUCGUGAUGCUAUUAAGGCUUAGGUGGUGAAAGAUGAGUAUGCGUUCUAUUAGCUAGUUGGAGAGGUAACGGCUCCCCAAGGCGAUGAUAGAUAGGGGUUCUGAGAGGGAUGUCCCCCACACUGGUACUGCGAUACGGACCAGACUCCUACGGGAGGCAGCAGUGAGGAAUAUUGGACAAUGGUCGGAAGACUGACCCAGCCAUGCCGCGUGCAGGAUGAAGGUCUUAUGGAUUGUAAACUGCUUUUGUAAGGGAAGAAUAAGGGCUACGCGUAGUUUGAUGACGGUACCUUACGAAUAAGCAUCGGCUAACUACGUG
rnacentral:rRNA from 1 species